GUGAGGCCUACAACAACUCCUUUAAGAACUCAACUUCUAGUGUAGCUGGCCAAAAAAGAAAGACUAGCACAGCUUUGAGAGGUGGUGCAACUCUUGUAUAUAAGAGACCAAGAUAAAAAAGAAAAGCAAAGACAACUAGUUAUGGUAUCUUAUUUGGAUCAGGUGGCAGUGUAACUAAGAGGGUAUGUAUUUUAUUAUUUAAACACAUUUAAUUACAUUAAUUGAUAUUAGUUCAUCUUUAAGUGAAAUUUUUUGUUGUUUUCUUAGUCUGGAAAUAUUGAUAGGGUGUUACAUAGUGCUACAUUGUCAAGUUCAACUCCUACGAAUAUUGAUCUUGGUUACAAACCCAAUGGACUAAGGUGGAAG
rnacentral:lncRNA from 1 species